rfam:Clostridium sp. CAG:62 genomic scaffold, scf231
CAUCUCCUGGAGUGUUCGAUACCUUCUGAAUUUUUGAACCUACAAUACUUUAAACGGGAUUCUUAUAUCUGUAGUUGGAUGUCGGGCCGUCACUGCCGCAAGGUACUAUGGUGACAUAGCAACGGAAGACAGAAGGCUGCAUGCGGUUGCCCACCUAGCCGAUAGCUAGGAGUCAAAAAUCAGAAGCCGGCAUUUCGGGUAUUUA